GCUCAGAAAGGACAUACUUUACAUCAGAGUAAAGUGUUCUAUUAUUUUAUUAUGUUCCCCGUUCUGAAAAAUGUAAGCAUACAUCUUUAUCAUGCGGCUUAAUGAACACUAUAAAAGUAAGAAGAAAAAAGUGAUUGCGCAUGGGCCUUAAUAGGAAAAAAAUUCCCCGCACAUUAGAUCUACCGCCAAUCUCGCUAACGCUAAUGUGUCGGGGAAAAAAUGACCUUCCUCAGGGUUUGGCAGGACAUCCAAUGUGUGGGUGUUUUUUUUUCUUUUCUUUUUUCUGAUUUACUAGGCGAUGUUGUUCUCCAAGCGACUGGCUACGACAACAAGGAGACAGGAAGCGCUCACCCCUGCUCUGGCUGUCGAGCUCCACUCCGGUAAAAACGUGCUCCAUGAUGAAUGCCAACAGCGCCCUCUGCAGUUUGGGGUCGGGGGUGUAGAGGACGACUGCACCGGCUGUGUGGUCCCAUGCCUGCAGCUGGUAGCUGUGAGCGGUGAGGAGGUCACACAGUGACAGGAAGGCCUAGAGGGAAAUCGACACUAUGGAAGAGUCUGAAAGAGAGAGACAUCCCUCACCUGUUCCUUCACCGCAGGGUUGCUAUGGGAGAGACAGCGGUGGCACUUUUCACAAAAACCCCGGAGCUGGUUCCUCUGGGCGAGGGCUUUCUCCUGAAAUGGCACAGCAGCCAGAAGCGUGAGACGUCAAGGGACGUCCCUCAGCGCAGCACACGGACUGAAUCACAGAGCUGUUCUGAACCAACGCCAUCAUUACUAGUCAUGCGCAGGACAAUCAAACGAAUCUAAAGACUGUUAGACGUCUGGAUUGGAAAGCGUAACGGAGCCUAAUUUGACAGCCCAGACGGGGGGGAAGUCGGCAGUCUUGUCUGAUGAAAGCGAGUCCUUGUGGCUUCCCUCACAUUGCCCUGUGUAACCCAUGCUUUCAGAGACACAAAAGCCUUCUGCCCCAGGGACAUGCGCCCGCUCCCGUUUCAGGCACUUAGACCCUACAGCAAUCUAAAUUCUUUAGCACGACUCCCUUUGAACUGUACAACUGCUUCUCAGUCUCCUGCUGAAUUCGAAAAUCCAAAAUGGCCGAAAUUCGGAGACGAAUGCCCGAGGCAUUACAAAUGCAAAUCGCGACGCGGUCGUUGUCGUCGACGACGAACAUUACUGCCCCGCAGUCUGUCAGUUAUUGAUUAAAGGGUCUUUGGGAAGGGCAGCAAUCAAUGGCCCUCUCCCGCAAGAAGAUUUAAUGUUUCCUUCAUACCUGAAGCGCUCGCAACCGCCGUUAACAUUUCACACGGGAGGUCAAAGAUCAGGGAAGAAUGCGAGAAAUAUGAUUACCCAGAAAACGGCGACACCAGGUUUAAUAAUUUAAAAAAUGCCAGAUAAGAGGGAGGGUGCAUGGAACACAACAGGUACAAGAAGCUAUUAAAACCAACACAAUCCAUCACCUGUGUCUACCACACUUAAUUACAUGGGAUGAAUCCCCUUCACUGGCAUUUGUUUGCCUUAUUAAACUCCACUGGGUGUCAUCCUUCUUGCUGCUGAGGGAUAGGAUUUGGCAUUACCCCACCUGCAUUACUGAUGUACAAUAAAAAAAUAAAACAAAAUAUGUAUUUAACUUGUGGUCCAUCACUUGUCCUACUGUAAGAUCGUUUCAACACAGAAGAAAGCCUAAUUUUAUCCCCAUUUUAACUGUGUUAACAAUUCAUUGGACUCAACCAAUCUGCAAUAAAAACAUAAA